rnacentral:lncRNA from 1 species
AAGUCACCAUGAAGUAAGGGUUCGUGAUGGAUAAGGCAAGAGGAAGAUCGUAAUGAGCAAUUACUAAGGAAGCUUGUUUAAACCAUUAAUAAUAUAUAUAAAAAAAAAUAAUGAAUAAAUAAAUAAAAUGGGAUUUGUAUUCCGUGACCUUCAGGGCGGCAAAGUUUUAUAAAGCGGCGAUGGCUACUAGUUUCCUUCAGUUCGGCCAGGACACGAGUGGGUUGGAGAAACAUUGGUCCGGACUGACGUGGAAACAAAAAGGGAGAAUACGAGAGAAAGACCAACACGCCAUCCUCCUUCCUAUCACGGUCUCGACACCACCAUGUUUUCCCCGAUCAGUCUCCCCGGCUUUCUCCUCAGUGUCAUGACCCCUUCGGGAAGGGUCAUGAAAAUAGUGGUGCAGAGUGGCACGCCCAUUUCGUACUUGAAGCAGAUAUUGGAGCAUGAAGGUGCUGGGGUGAAGGCCAGCAGGAUACGGUUGAUGGUAAGGAACGAAGAAAUGCAAAACGAUAAACGUCUGGGGAAUUAUGGGAUCACAGGUGAUUCUGUGAUUCGAAUGGAGGUUUCGUGAUGAGUUUGAAACCCUUAGCUUUUUGGGGGGUUGGUUUCCACUGAAUAAAUUCUCUUCUUUUGUUGUCUCUCAGUUUAUGUUAUUCAAUGUGAGAUUUCACAUGCCACGUCUCUGUCUAUAAUGAAAGUAAAUUGUAUGUUACAAUUCA